CCCUUAGAUGUCCUGGGCUGCACGCGCGCUACACUGAGUGUCUGAGAUACGAGUCUGCCUGGUCCGGCAAGGUCUAGGUAAUCGCUAAAAGACACAUCAUGCUUGGGAUAGAUUAUUGCAAAUAUUAAUCUUGAACGAGGAAUUCCUAGUAAGCGCAAGUCAACAGCUUGCGUUGAUUACGUCCCUGCCCUUUGUACACACCGCCCGUCGCUACUACUGAUUGGAUGUUUAAGCGAGGUUCUCGAACUGCUAGCGACUUAGCUUCGGUGAGGUCGCAGUGUGGGAAGUGAACCUAGCUUUGGUGUCUAGAGGAAGUAAAAGUCGUAAC
rnacentral:rRNA from 1 species